rnacentral:rRNA from 1 species
GAUGAACGCUGGCGGCGUGCCUAACACAUGCAAGUCGAGCGAACAGACGAGAGUGCUUGCACCUUCUGACGUUAGCGGCGGGCGGGUGAGGAACACGCAUGGAACCCACCUAUAAGGCGGGGAUAACUGCGGGAAACCGGAGCUAAUACCGGAUAAUAUUUAGCUUCGCAUGACGCAAGAGUGAAAGACGGCUCUGGUGUCACUUAGAGAUGGACCCGGGGUGUAUUAGCUAGUUGGCGGGGUAACGGCCCACCAAGGCAACGAUCCAUAGCCGACCUGAGAGGAUGAUCGGCCACACUGGAACUGAGACACGGUCCAGACUCCUACGGGAGGCAGCAGUAGGGAAUCUUCGGCAAUGGGCGAAAGUCUGACGCAGCAAUGCCGCGUGAGUGAAGAAGGUCUUCGGGUCGUAAAGCUCUGUUGUAGGGGAAGAACAGCUGCGUUAGUAAAUGAACGUAUCUUGACGGUACCUUACGAAAAAGCCCCGGCUAACUACGUG